rnacentral:rRNA from 1 species
CCCCAGUAAACGGCGGCCGUAACUAUAACGGUCCUAAGGUAGCGAAAUUCCUUGUCGGGUAAGUUCCGACCCGCACGAAAGGCGUAACGAUUUGGGCACUGUCUCAACAACAGACUCGGUGAAAUUGGAAUUCCGGUGAAGAUGCCGGAUACCUGCGACAGGACGGAAAGACCCCAUGGAGCUUUACUGUAGCUUGACAUUGGGUCUUGGUACUACAUGUACAGGAUAGGU